CCGCCUGGGGAGUACGGCCGCAAGGUUAAAACUCAAAUGAAUUGACGGGGGCCCGCACAAGCGGUGGAGCAUGUGGUUUAAUUCGAUGCAACGCGAAGAACCUUACCUGGUCUUGACAUCCACAGAAGAAUCCAGAGAUGGAUUUGUGCCUUCGGGAACUGUGAGACAGGUGCUGCAUGGCUGUCGUCAGCUCGUGUUGUGAAAUGUUGGGUUAAGUCCCGCAACGAGCGCAACCCUUAUCCUUUGUUGCCAGCGAUUAGGCCGGGAACUCA
rnacentral:rRNA from 1 species